GACUACAUAAGAGAAUAUAACUACUGUGUCACUCUGCUACCUACCUUAAGUGGGGAACUAGCCAAGAGGUGUUUGUCUGGAAAUAUAGAGGUGCAGCCUAAGCCUUGCAAAAAAGGAGUGGAAGAAGCAGACCAGGUCUUCUGACUCAAACUGGAACUACACCACCAUGUUUCCUGGGUCUCCAGUUGGCAGAUGGUGGUUUGUGGAAUUUCUUAGACUCCCUAACCACAGAAACCAAUCAAUCCUUUCUAUAUAAAGUGAUUUAUUUGACUCCUGCAUGUGUGCUGACUCCUGCAAAUACAAGGAGUGCAAAUACCCUGCAAGAAGACCUGCUGCUCCUGCUGCCCUGUGGACUGUGCCAAGUGUGCUCAAGGCUGUGUCUGCAAGGAGGUAUCAGACAAGUGUAGCUGCUAUGCCUGAUGUGGGGGAGAGUCUGAUCUUGAUGUAAAUAGAGCACACAUACACUGCCCUGCCCCUUUUGUUACGUUCCUGUUUCUAUGAAAUCUUUGAGUGAUAAUAAAUUCAUCUAGACUCUUCUGGAAAAAAUAUAUAUAUACAUAUAUAAAAUACCUAUUAUAUAUGUUUAUAUAGCAUAUAUAUUAUAUAUUAUUAUAUAUAAUAUAGCCUAUUGGUUCUGCUUCUUGGGAUAGCCCUAGGUAAUAAGGUUCCCUUUAUCCUUGGGCUUUUCUGAACAUUCAUCUCCCUCAAGCACACAGAAAAGGAAGCUAACAUUGCACGAGGAGAUAAGGGGCUCUUGCUUUGGGUUCUGACCAUAGAGUUGCUCCUCCAGUAAUCAGGUGCUUAUGUAUGACUAAAAGUCAAUUAGAAUCAGUUUGGAAGGAAAGAGUGGGAAGGAACCAAAGUUCUCUUGGGAAAACUAGCCUUACAAUCAAUAUUCACCUUGGUGAAGCCAAAUUGCCCAUGGAUGUAAUCUGUCUAAAUGCCAUCAAUAUCCUAAAACUGGUAAGGAGUUGACAGUAUCACUAUAGAUCAGGCUGGAUUUUUCUAUGGUAUUGUAGAAUGAUGGCAUUAAUUGCUCUAAUAUCUUCCUUUUAUCAUGUUUUUGGAAAUGCCCUCAUACAUGGACUCUGGCCAUGUCACUUGCUUUGACCAAUGAAACAGUAGCAAAUAAUGCAAGCAGAAAUUUGUGGAAGCACUUGCACAUAUUUUGCUUUCACCUUUGAUUCUCUACAAUGUCUAUAAAGAUGUGCCUGAGCCAGCCUGCUGUAGAGAUGUGAGAGGUGCAUGGAGAGAGGCCCCAGUCGCCACAACCAUCUACAAUGAAGCCAAACAAAAUCAGCCAUAGCUGAUCAAGCCCAGACAUGUGAGGAAGUCUGGCUGAGGCCAGGAGAACAGUCUAGCCCAGCAUAACCUAAAUUGUUAUCCUAUGAACUUACCUUC